rnacentral:rRNA from 1 species
UACUGGGCGUAAGCGCACGCAGGCGGUCUGUCAAGUCGGAUGUGAAAUCCCCGGGCUCUACCUGGGAACUGCAUUCGAAACUGGCAGGCUAGAGUCUUCUAGAGGGGGGUAGAAUUCCAGGUGUAGCGGUGAAAUGCGUAGAGAUCUGGAGGAAUACCGGUGGCGAAGGCGGCCCCCUGGACAAAGACUGACGCUCAGGUGCGAAAGCGUGGGGAGCAAACAGGAUUAGAUACCCUGGUAGUCCACGCCGUAAACGAUGUCGACUUGGAGGUUGUGCCCUUGAGGCGUGGCUUCCGGAGCUAACGCGUUAAGUCGACCGCCUGGGGAGUACGGCCGCAAGGUUAAAACUCAAAUGAAUUGACGGGGGCCCGCACAAGCGGUGGAGCAUGUGGUUUAAUUCGAUGCAACGCGAAGAACCUUACCUACUCUUGACAUCCAGAGAACUUAGCAGAGAUGCUUUGGUGCCUUCGGGAACUCUGAGACAGGUGCUGCAUGGCUGUCGUCAGCUCGUGUUGUGAAAUGUUGGGUUAAGUCCCGCAACGAGCGCAACCCUUAUCCUUUGUUGCCAGCGGUUAGGCCGGGAACUCAAAGGAGACUGCCAGUGAUAAACU